AGUACCAACCCGACUACAAAGACAUCAGCAAAUCCAUGCAGCACCAGAAGUCGCAUUAAUGACGGUCCGACAUGCUCAUGCGCUGGAGAGGCUGGUUCAAUAUACCCACCGUGUGAACCGAGUCUCCUGGAUUCAUGGUGUCCCAUGCAUGGAGAGCAAGAACAUAAUGCCUGCAGAACUAUUGGUUUUUAUUUUGUUACUUACUGUUGACCAACCCACGCUGUACCAAAGAGGACGAUCACGGCCAGGAAGAACUGAGGCACAGGUGUGGCACGGGUCACGCUGGUGCCGUGACUCGGAUUAUCUUCGUCUUACGGUUCUCAAUUCACUUUGUGGGGCCCGACGUCCACCCCACCGCCCUCACUAGGCAGGUGGGCCGCGACUUCCGCCCGUACCGCCCCCUCCACCUUGUCGGUCGGCUCCCGCCGGGCCCCCCGCAGACCCGAGUGAUCGGGCCCCCCGCGCUAGGGCCCUCUCUGAGGGACAUACUCGUGCUGCUGGCUCGUAGCCACGGAGUUAAACCACGCACCCGUGCACACCACAGCUGUCGCUGACGCAGGGGGGGGGGGGGGUACGAACGCGCUUGUACCUGCGGCCGAUUAUCUCUAAAUGCGCGCCCGUGCACACCGCAGCAAUCGUAACAGGUAAAUGCUAGGUAGAGCGCUUUAUUCAUCUAUAUAUAUGUAAAAGGGAAAUUUGUGAAUUGGUGUCUGUUAGAAAUGUUUAGCAUACUUCCCAACAUACAAACUUGAAAUUUGGCAUGUGGGCAGCUUCCAGACUGUACACAAUGCAAAUAGUAUACAAAUAGACUUUUGUAGUUGGUGGGGGGGGUGGCGCAAUAAUGGAUGCGCCACGGAGGUUUUAGCGAGCGGGAAACAAGGUAUUUACCGGGUAAUAUUUCACGCUACCUUUACCCUACCGGGUUAUUCUUCUGCGCUACCUUUACCCUACCCUUUACCUUACCCCUUGAGAUGUCGACACCUUUACCUUUUACCCGGUAAAAAGGGUAAAUCACCUAACCUUGCCGAGGCCUACUCCACACAGAGAUCAGAGACACCACGCCUAUGCUCUGCACUAACUUUUAUUCUCGGCGCAAACCCUGCACUACCCGGAGGCAUCGCACGGACGCUGUGAUAGUCGGAGGGAAGAGGACGAAAAAACCUUGCCUACCACUGCCUCGUAGUGGCACUCGCUGACGUCACACGGAUGCUGCGAGCGGCUCGAGAAGGCAGGACGGCAGGGAGUGGGUCUUGGCGGCCAAGAGGUUGAAGAAAGUUCUGAUUUGAACGAACACCAGGCUCCCCUUUUAUCCUCCUGACUUCAAAAUCCUGGGGUUGCGUUGUACCGCGCGGCCAAUCGUGCGUCUGCCUGUGAUUACCGCCCGUUUUUUUUUGUCCUUACAUGGUGCUUCUGCGACCCAUUGCCUGUCCGUCCGUACUCAUUAAUUUAUUACUCACCCUUGUUAAUCCAGAAUGACGCUCGACUGGCGAAUACACACCUUGCAAGUGUAUUCGGUAUGGAGGUCGGGGGAGGUCGUGGCGCUGCAAUCCCCUGACCUCAUGGUCUGCCCUUCUCGCUUAAUAUUCCACCCCAGCCCCUCCCGAUGUCGUGAAUGACUCAUUGCGGCUGGCCUGGUGAACCUUUUUGCACCCAUACAAUAUUAAACCAACUCAGGGGCACCGCAAUGUGACCUGUCCUGCGAGGGUCGGCCAAUCUACUGUCACCGGGAAACCGUGGGACUUUCCUCCUAGGGACCCUUUGGAUUAAAACCCGUUGUGCCAGGCAAUCCGCCGCCAGGACACUACGUGUGUGUGCUCAGUGUGGGGGCCAGGGGGGAUUCGUGGCUCUUGCCAGGUUGCUUCGAGGCCGUGGCACCACAACUACUUCAUGUUCCAAGCUCAUGUCUUCAUGUUCCAAUUCACUUCUUCACGUACCAAGUUCAUGUCUUCAUGUUCCAAGCUAACUUCUGGCCACAUUGAGAAGCUGGGGUUUUCUCCCUUGUGGAUCUGCUCAUGCCUAUCUCAUACUUGUGAUCAUUUAAAAGCCUUCCCAUACAUAGUGUGCUUGAAGGGUUUCUCACCUGAGUGUGUUCUCUGGUGAGUACGAAGAUUUCCUAGCUGUGUAAACGCCUUCCCACUCACCGUGCACUUGAAGGUCUCACCUCUGUGUGUUCUCUCGUGAUUUUUAAGAUGCAAUGAACGUGAAAAUGCUAUCCCACACACUGCACUAGAAGAUAUUCUUGCCUGUGUGUGUUCUCUGGUGCGUGUGAAGAGUUCCUCUCUCUGUAUAUGCCUUUCCACAAACUGUACUUGUAGGGGUUCUCACCUGUGUGUAUUUUUUGUUGAUUUUUAAGAUGCAAUGAACGUAAAAAUGCCUUCCCACACACAUUGCACUUGAGUUUUUCGCCUGUGUCUACGAUGGGGUUCACGCCAUGAUAGGUAUUCAAGAAAAUGAGACCUGGUUAGUAGGGGUCAGCCUGGGCUGAUUCAAGCUCCAUCAAAAGAUCUCCAAGCUCUCAUAACCUUUUAUUGUCUCGACCAGAGAUUUUUGGAAAGUUCUGCAACUUCUUGAAGAGAGCCUUCUCAAUGGUUUCUGGGCUACCAUAGCACUCCUCGAGCCUCUCCCGCACCGCAUGCAGGCUUGAGGCAGGGUCGUCUAUGUUUGCCGACCGGAUCCUCUUUGCGUACUCUGCAGAUUCGUUUCCUAACCAUUUCACCAACAGGUCGAGUUCUUCACUUGCAGAUAUGUCUGCAUUUAUGAUUACAUUCCUGAAGGUAGAUCUCCAGGCUCGAUAGUUAUCAGAGUGGUCAUCAAACUUAACAAGUCCUGUGUUGAUUAGUUCGCGGUGAGCCAAGUACCUAGCAAAGUUCCCCUAAGCCUGCUGAUCCAGGGUGUGUCCAUACUGGCGCUUGUGAGGUGCCAUUGUUGGCUGCAUUGCCUUGCAUGUCGUCAUUCGCGAUGGCGUUGGAUUGUGAGCCCAAAGGGUUUCGAUCAUGUUGGUUUGAGCCCUUUAUGUGACUGUCUGGAAUGUGGGUCUGACUUGGUGCAUCCAUGUCUGACCCCACGUGUGCGACGCUGAGUCGCCGACUAACUGCCAGGGUAGGAUAUGCAUUUCCACCAUUCCCGUAGGCAGCAUUCAUGUUCACUCGGUAUGGAGAUGGCGAUGCCUCAACGUCCACCCUUUGUUCAGUAUCAUUUGGUGGAGGAGCAUUGGUGAAUUGUUCAGACCAGUCCAAAAUAUUUUUUCUGGUAAGUUGAUCACGGUCCUUGACAGGCAUCUGAGUGUCAAACUCACUCCAAUUCUCUUCCUUAUCCAGAUUGGCUGCUGCUUCGUGCACCUCUGCUUGGGCCCCAUACAUAGUGUGCUUGAAGGGUUUCUCACCUGAGUGUGUUCUCUGGUGCGUGCGAAGAGUUCCUAUCUCUGUAUACGCCUUUCCACAAACUGUACUUGUAGGGCUUCUCACCUGUGUGUAUUUUUGUUGAUUUUUAAGAUGCAAUGAACGUGAAAAUGCCUUCCCACACACAUUGCACUUGAAGAGUUUUUCGCCUGUGUCCUCUUGUGCUGGGUCAUACCGCUUCUCGUGCAUACCGUAUGGACAAUGGUGCUGUGACUCGGAUUGCGAUACGUGUGUCGUGUAGUAGAACGACACUACUGUGUUGGCUCGGUAUGGGGGCUGUAGGUGGGUGUCACGGAGGUCGUGUCAGGCCGUGACACUCUGCGUGAACCCAACAGGACACAUGACUGGAUAAAGGGGGGGCAGGGGCCCCAAGGGGGUCACGUGGUUGGGGGCUUGGGCCUUCCCAAAGGAUCGGGAAGGGGGGCGUGGCUUGGGGCGGAGCCGCCCACGCCGGAGUGGUUAUAAGCGGGGCGUGGAUGGAGAGCUGGGCUGUUCUGUGCUGUCCUGCUAUGCUGCUGGGUCAUCUCUGGGAUGAAGCUCUCCGGUAUCCGCUAGUGGACCAAGCAGCGUGUUGGGCUGUCCUGGUCCAGUGAUGUAGUACCCCCGUGGGUUAGCUAAGUUGUGAACGGUGGCUACCACCUUAAGUCGUUAUGUUAAGUGUUACCUGUUGUGUUAGCUAAAUAGUGUUGCCUCCAAAGUCCAGUGUGCGCCUGCAUUUAACCCACCACAUAUAUUGCAUUGCGUGAUUACUGCGCUGUGACAGUUCAAAUAUUCACGUUGCUCAGAAUUUUUUUGACAUUUUUUUCUCAUAUUCGGUCGUCAUGUUGACAUUGUUUGUCGGGCUUUCCUGUUCGUGUUGGUGAUAAACGCCUUGUCGGAAGAUGGACAACAGCAAAUUGGGAAAAUAUGUCGAUGAGCAUUUAACAACGGAUUCGGGAUAUGGGAGUCGCAGAGUGAGUUUUGGACGGGGCACAGCCACUUUGCGAUGUGUUGAUUCCACGCAAGGUGAAUUGGAUAAAUUAGAGGGUCCAGGCGCCUGCAGUACUGCAAUGGGACAGGCAGGGGAAAAGCCAAAAGUCUCAGGAGCAGAGAGAUGUCGUAAGUGAUUUGGUCACUCAGAUGGCACUGCAGAUUGGCCAAGAGGUCACAAUGCAUCUAGAAGGUAGCUUCUGACAGGAUGGUGCUAAUCGUUUACAUCUUACCGGUGUUGCAGAUCAGGGACAGCCUGCCCCCAUUACCUUUACAGGGUGUAUGACUGAUAAUCCGGCCAGAAGGCGGAGAUCAGGCGCGACCAGUGACCUUUGCCAGCAAAGCACUGACAUGGGCACAGAAUAGAUACCCUGCGCAUUGACUGGAAUUCCUUGCGUUCAAGUGCAGUGUCUGUGAGAAAUGUAGUCACUGGCUGAGGGGACACUUUCACCGUUUUCACUGGCAACAAUCUGCUGACGCAUAUCAUGACAAAGCCAAAGUUGGAUGCUUGUGAACAACGUUGGGUUACCAAGUUGGCCCUAUAUGCUUUUGAUAUCAAGCACAUACCGGGGAAGGGGAACGUUGUCGCCGAUGCUCUAAGCAGGGCUCCAAAUGGCCGCUCAGCAGCUUCGUACAGAUUCGCAUGUAGUUAUAGAUUUGAGAAUCGGCUCUGCGUUGCGCAGUUGUUUUCAUCAGUGGGGCGUGAAGUUGACAGCACAUUUGGUCGUUUAAGAUGGUCCAAUAUACUCGUUUGCUGGAGAGGCUGGUUCAAUAAACCCACAGUGUGUGAAAGG